GAGUUUGAUCAUGGCUCAGGACGAACGCUGGCGGCGUGCCUAAUACAUGCAAGUCGAGCGGGCUUUUGAGCUUGGAAGCCUUCGGGCGGACGAGCUUAAAAGCUAGCGGCGGACGGGUGAGUAACGCGUAAGCAACCUGCCCUCCAGUGGGGGAUAACUCGCCGAAAGGCGGGCUAAUACCGCAUGAGCUCUCUCUGGGGCAUCCUGGGGAGAGGAAAGGCCCUUCGGGGUCGCUGGAGGAGGGGCUUGCGUCCCAUUAGCUAGUUGGUGGGGUAACGGCCCACCAAGGCGACGAUGGGUAGCCGGCCUGAGAGGGUGACCGGCCACACUGGGACUGAGACACGGCCCAGACUCCUACGGGAGGCAGCAGUAGGGGAUCUUGCGCAAUGGGCGAAAGCCUGACGCAGCGACGCCGCGUGGGGGAAGAAGGCCUUCGGGUCGUAAACCCCUGUCCCAGGGGACGAGGCAGGACGGUACCCUGGGAGGAAGCCCCGGCUAACUACGUGCCAGCAGCCGCGGUAA
rnacentral:rRNA from 1 species